UCCAAAAAAUUGCUGUACGAACAAUUGUUUGAUACACUGUACAUGUAGAGAGCAGGGCAGUGAUGGAAUAACUAACAAUCAAUACGGGACUGGCAAUUCGCCCAUGACCCCAGUUACAUCAAUUUUCAAUGAGCCUAAUCCCCCACUACGUAAUGUUUGAAUGGACACAAGGAGGCGGCGCUUUUGACGCUUCUCACUGUCAAUCAAUGUGUUUUUCUUCAGUCGUUCAGAAUGACAUACAAGUUUUCCUCUUUUAGCGUUGUUACCAAACAAUGAUGUGGCUGAAGCUCCAUUUGAUGUAAAACCAGUGGAUUUAUAUGGCAUGAACCAGCUUUGAACCAAGGAGAAGAUAGCGUCCAAAAGAGAUGUUGGUAGACGUCAUGAUGCAGUUCAGUCAACGGAAGCUUCCGCGAUAGGAUCGAAAAUCUCUUUCAAAUCUUGGUUCCCCGGGGCGUUUUCGGACUUCGUGGCUUGAGACUAAAUUCAAAGAAAUAAAUUACAUUGAAUUUCUUUUAUUUCUUGAUCGUGAAGAAUGGAAGUAAAUGUUGUUUAGGUCAAA